GAUGAACGCUGGCGGCGUGCCUAAUACAUGCAAGUCGAGCGAAUGGAUUAAGAGCUUGCUCUUAUGAAGUUAGCGGCGGACGGGUGAGUAACACGUGGGUAACCUGCCCAUAAGACUGGGAUAACUCCGGGAAACCGGGGCUAAUACCGGAUAACAUUUUGAACCGCAUGGUUCGAAAUUGAAAGGCGGCUUCGGCUGUCACUUAUGGAUGGACCCGCGUCGCAUUAGCUAGUUGGUGAGGUAACGGCUAACCAAGGCAACGAUGCGUAGCCGACCUGAGAGGGUGAUCGGCCACACUGGGACUGGGACACGGCCCAGACUCCUACGGGAGGCAGCAGUAGGGAAUCUUCCGCAAUGGACGAAAGUGUGACGGAGCAACGCCGCGUGAGUGAUGAAGGCUUUCGGGUCGUAAAACUCUGUUGUUAGGGAAGAACAAGUGCUAGUUGAAUAAGCUGGCACCUUGACGGUACCUAACCAGAAAGCCACGGCUAACUACGUGCCAGCCGCCGCGGUAA
rnacentral:rRNA from 1 species